AGUGAACGCUGGCGGUAGGCCUAACACAUGCAAGUCGAACGGCAGCACAGUAAGAGCUUGCUCUUACGGGUGGCGAGUGGCGGACGGGUGAGGAAUACAUCGGAAUCUACUUUUUCGUGGGGGAUAACGUAGGGAAACUUACGCUAAUACCGCAUACGACCUAGGGGUGAAAGCAGGGGAUCUUCGGACCUUGCGCGAUUGAAUGAGCCGAUGUCGGAUUAGCUAGUUGGCGGGGUAAAGGCCCACCAAGGCGACGAUCCGUAGCUGGUCUGAGAGGAUGAUCAGCCACACUGGAACUGAGACACGGUCCAGACUCCUACGGGAGGCAGCAGUGGGGAAUAUUGGACAAUGGGCGCAAGCCUGAUCCAGCCAUACCGCGUGGGUGAAGAAGGCCUUCGGGUUGUAAAGCCCUUUUGUCGGGAAAGAAAAGCAGCAGGUUAAUACCCCGCUGUUCUGACGGUACCCAAAGAAUAAGCACCGGCUAACUUCGUG
rnacentral:rRNA from 1 species